ensembl:lncRNA
CGCGCCUCUUCCUCUUCCGACUCGCUUUCUCAGAGGAUGGAGGUGAGUGCAACACAAUCCUGUAACAUCGAAGAUCGUAUGCGGUGUUUUAACAGCUAGGUUUCAUAAGAAGUUUGUUUGGGUGUUACAGCACUAGAUCGUUAGUGACUCUCGGGCGUCCAGCGCAGGAUGAGUGUUUACGGAGGUCAGAAGUAAGCGGGUGCAGUGUGUAACCGCGGUCGGCCUUCCAGUCUUUAAAUAUUAAAAAUGACUUUUGCAAACAGUUAUAAGGUUCUGAAUGCACUCUUGGGUUUGUGAGUGCAACAUUGUUUGCAGAGUAGUGUCCAAAAUCGACGCUAUUUUAGUCCAUGUAAAUUUUUUUUUUGCAUUGGUUGUUCAAGGGGUCUAGAUUGAGUUUGUAUAUAAUGUGGAAAUAGGCUAGAUGUACCAAAAUGCCAAGUCUAGCCUUGGAUACAAUAUGUAGUCAGUUGUGCCUCAUUUUUAUUUUUUAUAUAUGCCAUUGCUGGUUACAGAUGUAAGGCUAUUUCUGGUGUGAAUCCGUGGAUGUCUCCCUGAUCUCCUCAUGUUUCUUCCUGCUCUCCAGGUGCUUGCCGGAGUGAAUACUGGGUCACCACGUGGCUCCGCCGCCUCACUAGUGCAGAGGUCGGAUGAUGCCAAAUGAGACGUCCCAUCAUCAAAAUACUGCUCGAGAUGUCCUCUUCUCUAAGAGGUUCAGCAUCUGUAGUGGGGUUUUCACGGUUCCUGAGACUGCUCCAGGUUCUCCGACAGCGUGCUGAAUCAACGGGCAGACUUGCAGGUCUUCAGCAGCUCCUGACCAGCAAGUGGAAGUUGUAAAAUGAGUGACGCAAGUUCAACCUAAUAUGAAAGUGUGGAUUGGUCUUUCAUAUCCUGUUCAUGGUCCUUUGUUUGUUGGAUCAACUCUGUAAAAUAAAGACUUGCUACCAGAAUUUGCAUUGUUGCUUUUUAAUGUCUCUUUAAACUCUUACCGGUUAUG